UCGAGCGAGCGGAACUAACAGAUUUACUUCGGUAAUGACGUUAGGAAAGCGAGCGGCGGAUGGGUGAGUAACACGUGGGGAACCUGCCCCAUAGUCUGGGAUACCACUUGGAAACAGGUGCUAAUACCGGAUAAGAAAGCAGAUCGCAUGAUCAGCUUUUAAAAGGCGGCGUAAGCUGUCGCUAUGGGAUGGCCCCGCGGUGCAUUAGCUAGUUGGUAAGGUAAAGGCUUACCAAGGCGAUGAUGCAUAGCCGAGUUGAGAGACUGAUCGGCCACAUUGGGACUGAGACACGGCCCAAACUCCUACGGGAGGCAGCAGUAGGGAAUCUUCCACAAUGGACGCAAGUCUGAUGGAGCAACGCCGCGUGAGUGAAGAAGGUUUUCGGAUCGUAAAGCUCUGUUGUUGGUGAAGAAGGAUAGAGGUAGUAACUGGCCUUUAUUUGACGGUAAUCAACCAGAAAGUCACGGCUAACUACGUGCCAGCAGCCGCGGUAAUACGUAGGUGGCAAGCGUUGUCCGGAUUUAUUGGGCGUAAAGCGAGCGCAGGCGGAAGAAUAAGUCUGAUGUGAAAGCCCUCGGCUUAACCGAGGAACUGCAUCGGAAACUGUUUUUCUUGAGUGCAGAAGAGGAGAGUGGAACUCCAUGUGUAGCGGUGGAAUGCGUAGAUAUAUGGAAGAACACCAGUGGCGAAGGCGGCUCUCUGGUCUGCAACUGACGCUGAGGCUCGAAAGCAUGGGUAGUGAACAGGAUUAGAUACCCUGGUAGUCCAUGCCGUANACGAUGAGUGCUAAGUGUUGGGAGGUUUCCGCCUCUCA
rnacentral:rRNA from 1 species